CCUACGGGAGGCAGCAGUGAGGAAUAUUGGUCAAUGGACGAGAGUCUGAACCAGCCAAGUAGCGUGAAGGAUGACUGCCCUAUGGGUUGUAAACUUCUUUUAUAUGGGAAUAAACUGUUCCACGUGUGGGUUUUUGUAUGUACCAUAUGAAUAAGGAUCGGCUAACUCCGUGCCAGCAGCCGCGGUAAUACGGAGGAUCCGAGCGUUAUCCGGAUUUAUUGGGUUUAAAGGGAGCGUAGGUGGAUUGUUAAGUCAGGUGUGAAAGUUUGCGGCUCAACCGUAAAAUUGCAGUUGAAACUGGCAGUCUUGAGUACAGUAGAGGUGGGCGGAAUUCGUGGUGUAGCGGUGAAAUGCUUAGAUAUCACGAAGAACUCCGAUUGCGAAGGCAGCUCACUGGACUGCAACUGACACUGAGGCUCGAAAGUGUGGGUAUCAAACAGGAUUAGAUACCCCAGUAGUC
rnacentral:rRNA from 1 species